UUAUCUGGACCCUUUCAAAUGCAGACAUCAUCUCCCCAGGCCAGAGGCUCUUGGAAAUCCUGGUUGAUGCAUUAAGUACUCUGUGGACUUGGCUUAGUUUAUGAGAUCAAAGGCCGAGUCUUCCAUGAGUGAGGAUUACUUCACCUGACAGAACUUGGAAAUCAGUCGAAAUCUCUUUGAUGUUUCCUUAAAUAUCUAAAUAGUGUAAUACCGUUUGGUCUGAAGCCUGAAGACUUCAGGUACCCAACAGACUCUACAACCUACUGCAGAGACACUUCCUGAUCCUGCUCUAUUCACAAUAACCAGAAAAUGAAAUCAGCCUAGAUGUCCAUGAACUGACGAAUGGAUAAUAAAAAUGUGAACCAUA